rnacentral:rRNA from 1 species
GAUGAACGCUGGCGGAAUGCUUUACACAUGCAAGCCGAACGGCAGCACGGACUUCGGUCUGGUGGCGAGUGGCGAACGGGUGAGUAAUGUAUCGGAACGUGCCCAGUCGUGGGGGAUAACGUAGUGAAAAUUACGCUAAUACCGCAUACGAUCUACGGAUGAAAGCGGGGGAUCGCAAGAACUCGCGCGAUUGGAGCGGCCGAUAUCAGAUUAGGUAGUUGGUGGGGGAAAGGCCCACCAAGCCAACGAUCUGUAGCUGGUCUGAGAGGAGGACGAGCCACACUGGAACUGAGACACGGGCCAGACUCCUACGGGAGGCAGCAGUGGGGAAUUUUGGACAAUGGGCGAAAGCCUGAUCCAGCCAUUCCGCGUGCAGGAUGAAGGCCCUCGGGUUGUAAACUGCUUUUGUACAGAACGAAAAGGUUUCUACUAAUACUAGGAGCUCAUGACGGUACUGUAAGAAUAAGCACCGGCUAACUACGUGCCAGCAGCCGCAGUAA